GGCCGCCGGGCGCACCCGUCCCGUUCGUCCCCGGACGUUGCUCUGGGCCCCAGGAACGUCGAGACUGGGGCGCCCGAAC
rnacentral:pre_miRNA from 1 species